CCAGACUCCUACGGGAGGCAGCAGUGGGGAAUAUUGCACAAUGGGGGGAACCCUGAUCCAGCGACGCCGCGUGAGUGAAGAAGUAUUUCGGUAUGUAAAGCUCUAUCAGCAGGGAAGAAAGAAAUGACGGUACCUGACUAAGAAGCCCCGGCUAACUACGUGCCAGCAGCCGCGGUAAUACGUAGGGGGCAAGCGUUAUCCGGAUUUACUGGGUGUAAAGGGAGCGUAGACGGUUACGCAAGUCUGGAGUGAAAGGCGGGGGCCCAACCCCCGGACUGCUUUGGAAACUGUAUAACUGGAGUGCAGGAGAGGUAAGUGGAAUUCCUAGUGUAGCGGUGAAAUGCGUAGAUAUUAGGAGGAACACCGGUGGCGAAGGCGGCUUACUGGACUGUAACUGACGUUGAGGCUCGAAAGCGCGGGUAUCGAACAGGAUUAGAUACCCGUGUAC
rnacentral:rRNA from 1 species